rnacentral:rRNA from 1 species
CCUACGGGCGGCAGCAGUGGGGGAUAUUGCACAAUGGGGGAAACCCUGAUGCAGCGACGCCGCGUGUGGGAAGACGGUCCUCUGGAUUGUAAACCACUGUCCCCAGGGACGAAGAUGACGCUACCUGGGCAGGAAGCUCCGUCUAACUACGUGCCAGCAGCCGCGGUAAUACGUAGGGAGCGAGCGUUGUCCGGAAUUACUGGGUGUAAAGGGAGCGUAGGCGGGACUGCAAGUUGGGUGUCAAAUCUACCGGCUCAACCGGUAGCCGCACUCAAAACUGCAGUUCUUGAGUGAAGUAGAGGCAGGCGGAAUGCCUGGUGUAGCGGUGAAAUGCGUAGAUAUUAGGAGGAACACCAGUGGCGAAGGCGGCCUGCUGGGCUUUUACUGACGCUGAGGCUCGAAAGUGUGGGGAGCGAACAGGAUUAGAUACCCUAGUAGUC